AUGGAGAUCUUCGUCAAGACCCUCGCCGGCAAGACGAUCACCAUCAAGGUUGAUCCAUCCGACACCAUCUACAUCGUCAAGACAAAGAUCCAAGAUCAGCAGCGCUUUGUUUUCAAUGGGGAGCAGCUUGAAGACGAGCGUACUCUGAAUGAUUACGGCAUCCAGGAUGAAUCCACUCUCAGCCUCGAUCUGCCCAUCCAAAGGAGGAGGAUGCUAAUCCGUGUCAACACGUUGACUGGUACCUCACUACCUCUUGAUGUGGAGAAUUUUGAUACCAUCGAUAGUGUCAAGGAGAAGAUCUGGGUUGAGAAGGGCAUUCCUGUGCACCAGCAGAGACUCGUCUAUGCUGGAAAACAACUGGAAAAUGGCCGCACCCUGGAGGAGUACAAUAUACGCCACGAAGCUACUCUUCAUCUGAUUCUCUGUCUUCGUGUUUACCCGGAACUAUGA
rnacentral:rRNA from 1 species